rnacentral:misc_RNA from 1 species
UACGGAGGGUGCGAGCGUUAAUCGGAAUUACUGGGCGUAAAGCGCGCGUAGGCGGCUUGAUAAGCCGGUUGUGAAAGCCCCGAGCUCAACCUGGGAACUGCAUACGGAACUGGGAGGCUAGAGUGCAGGAGAGGAAGGUAGAAUUCCCGGUGUAGCGGUGAAAUGCGUAGAGAUCGGGAGGAAUACCAGUGGCGAAGGCGGCCUUCUGGACUGACACUGACGCUGAGGUGCGAAAGCGUGGGUAGCAAACAGG